GGGAAUAACAGUGAGAAAUCAUUGCUAAUACCGCAUAUGCUCACAGUAUCACAUGAUACAGUGAGGAAAGGAGUAAUCCGCUGAUAGAUGGGCUUGCGUCUGAUUAGUUAGUUGGUGGGGUAACGGCCUACCAAGACUACGAUCAGUAGCCGGACUGAGAGGUUGAACGGCCACAUUGAGACUGAGAUACGGCCCAGACUCCUACGGGAGGCAGCAGUCGGGAAUAUUGCGCAAUGGAGGAAACUCUGACGCAGUGACGCCGCGUAUAGGAAGAAGGUUUUCGGAUUGUAAACUAUUGUCAUUAGGGAAGAUAAAAGACUGUACCUAAGGAGGAAGCCCCGGCUAACUAUGUGCCAGCAGCCGCGGUAAUACAUAGGGGGCAAGCGUUAUCCGGAAUUAUUGGGUGUAAAGGGUGCGUAGACGGAAGAACAAGUUGGUUGUGAAAUCCCUCGGCUCAACUGAGGAACUGCAACCAAAACUAUUCUCCUUGAGUGUCGGAGAGGAAAGUGGAAUUCCUAGUGUAGCGGUGAAAUGCGUAGAUAUUAGGAGGAACACCAGUGGCGAAGGCGACUUUCUGGACGAUAACUGACGUUGAGGCACGAAAGUGUGGGGAGCAAACAGGAUUAGAUACCCUGGUAGUCCACACUGUAAACGAUGGA
rnacentral:rRNA from 1 species